UUUCAGCCGUGGCGGGCUGUCACGGCUACGCCUAUGUAAGGGAAACCCUGGAUCUGAUCCAUGAACUCAGAGUAAGGGCCUGGUGGACGAUAUAAAACUUUUCAGCACUUUUGUAAUUUUAAUGAUAUCUUGAACGGUUCAGGAAUUAUGGUAGUGAGAAGUGCGGAUGUCCAAUCCCGUCGGCGGCGACAGGUGGUAAUAAGAAUAUUAUGGCAUUAACAGAAGGGUGCCCGCAGUCAGGGCUAGGGGGCCCCCUUGGCCCCCCAGCACAAGGGGGCCCCAGGCGGCCGCCGACCUAUGCCUAAUGGUAAAACCUCCACUGUGGCAAACAACCCAAAAUGCCCGGCUUCUGUGGCAAGACAUAGAACUGAGAGGUGGGUCAUUUUGCUUGAGUGUCAUUCAACACAGACCGACUCGGUUGAGUCAGUAUCCAAUUAAAAUAAUCUUUACUUUAGGUAACUACAGCAUUAACAGACUGGACUUGUUGCACAGCUACUAUUACAACUGCAUCUGCUAAUGGGCCAUUCCCACCUGUACCCAUACAGCUCACUGUGGACUCUGGUUCAUGUUUCUAUUACAUCUAGAAAUGAGUAAGAAGCCCAUUUGAGCAGUAAUGGUCUGCAGGCUCCAGAUGUGACUUUAUAGUCCCUCAUACACCAGUACUAGGAUGACUGCCUAGUCGCAUCAUGUGACUGCAUGUUUCUCUACUACGCCGUUUGUUGCCGACUGCCGCUGCGGGGAUGGAUCUAAUCGAAGGACUUGGACUGCUGUUGAAGGUGAAAGUCCACUCUCCCUUCUCCUGUGAUGUGUCUGCCAUCUCAGCCUCAAUGGUCAUCUCUUGGAUGUGAGAACAUGUUUGUUAAAAGUUUUGGAUGCUAUUGCUCUAGUCAGGAAUAUAUACAGAGGCACUUAGCCCCUCCUAAUUUUGCCUGAAUUAGCGGUAAAGUGGACCUACUUUCAUGGACUUGUACCCAACUGUCUGUUUUUAUCCUGAGAGUGUUUCAACAAGUAGAACUCAACUCCAUCAGACGAGUGUGAGAUUCCCUAAGCUGGAAUGUUUUGAACUAGCAGACAUUAAAACCAUCUCUCUUACUUGUGCCCAUCUGUGCUGUUUGUUUAAUCCGACACAUUAGAAACUGCUUCAGCGAGAAGCAUGAUGGGGAAAACGUGACAUACUUAAGCAGCACUCGAUCACACAGUAGUACAUUUUACACUCGAAUCAAACUCAUGACCAGUGCAUUGAGAAGUGAAGAGAACCCCAGAAGCCACCAGCAGCACACAUCAAACCUCUAAAGCCGUUUAUUCAUCAGCACAGGGAUGUUUGCAGAGGAACUUCUAUGUGGCUCAAACAGUCCUGGGAUAAACCUGCUCCAGCCGCCUGCGUCGGUGCCAGUGAGCCCAAACAGAACUAAGAAAACGUAAAAGAUUUAAAGUCAGCCCAUGUCACUACCCCCCCCCCCCCC